rnacentral:rRNA from 1 species
UAGAGUUUGAUCCUGGCUCAGAUUGAACGCUGGCGGCAGGCCUAACACAUGCAAGUCGAGCGGUAACAGGACUAGCUUGCUAGUUGCUGACGAGCGGCGGACGGGUGCGUAACACGUAGGAAUCUGCCCGGUAGUGGGGGAUAGCCCGGAGAAAUCCGGAUUAAUACCGCAUACGCUUCAAGAGGGAAAGCAGGGGACUCUUCGGAACCUUGCGCUAUCGGAUGAGCCUGCGUCGGAUUAGCUGGUUGGUGGGGUAAAGGCCUACCAAGGCAACGAUCCGUAGCUGGUCUGAGAGGAUGAUCAGCCACACUGGGACUGAGACACGGCCCAGACUCCUACGGGAGGCAGCAGUGGGGAAUAUUGCACAAUGGGCGAAAGCCUGAUGCAGCCAUGCCGCGUGUGUGAAGAAGGCCCUAGGGUUGUAAAGCACUUUCAGCGAGGAGGAAAGGUUCAAGGUUAAUACCCUUGAGCUGUGACGUUACUCGCAGAAGAAGCACCGGCUAACUCCGUGCCAGCAGCCGCGGUAAUACGGAGGGUGCGAGCGUUAAUCGGAAUUACUGGGCGUAAAGCGUGCGUAGGCGGCUUGUUAAGUUGGAUGUGAAAGCCCCGGGCUUAACCUGGGAACGGCAUCCAAAACUGGCAAGCUAGAGUGCGGAAGAGGAGUGUGGAAUUUCCUGUGUAGCGGUGAAAUGCGUAGAUAUAGGAAGGAACACCAGUGGCGAAGGCGACACUCUGGUCUGACACUGACGCUGAGGUACGAAAGCGUGGGGAGCAAACAGGAUUAGAUACCCUGGUAGUCCACGCCGUAAACGAUGUCCUACUAGUCGUCGGGGAUCUUUGCAUUUCCUGGUGACGCAGCUAACGCGAUAAGUAGACCCGCCUUGGGGAGAACGGCCGCAAGGUUAAAA